CUCCAGUCCAAAUUCAUUAAUACAAUGAAAAAAAGAUUUAUUUUAAACUAAUGUUAAAUCAAUUAAAAAAUAACAUACAGUACAAGAAUACUAAACUAUCAAACAAAUCACAUUUAAUGCUUCAAAAUUCAAAUACUAGCGACUUACAAUAAUUGUUUCGUCCCAAACCAUACCUACAUAGUGUCCUGACUGUCUAAUUUAAAACCAAUAUAAUGAACUAAGUAACUGUAAGUUGUUUAGUUACGUUGUGUUCUUUGUUUUUCUUGUCUUAGAUUUCUUAGAUUUUUUUGCCAUUCUCUUCCCUUGUACGAGUUUUACUUUGUUUUUUAUAGUGCCUUUCAGUUUGGAGCUUGUCUGCAAGGGAAAAACAAAACACCAUCAUGAAUAAAUAAUCUGUUGUGCGUUUUGAUAGUUAUACGUAAAUACUAUACCAUAUCAAAUACUAUAGCCUUACCAAGGUUUUUUUCAGGGAUUUUUUAGGGCCGUAAAACGGCCCCAAAAACUCAAUCUUGAAUUGAGUUUUGAAACUCAAUCUUCUCAUCAAAAGAUUUUGUGCAGUAAAAUGAAGUUGUUUUAGUUAAAUUCAUGACGUGUGCAAAUUAGUUUUCAGUUGAAAACCCGAAAAUUAAUUAAAAAAUGGCUGGAAUUCAUUUCACAUCACAAGAAAAACAACACAUUCGCCGUCUUAAACCAGUUUAUAGUGUCCCUUCGUGCCCCUGCUUUAA